rnacentral:rRNA from 1 species
GCAUUGCGCAAUGGAGGCAACUCUGACGCAGCGACGCCGCGUGAGCGAUGAAGGUCUUCGGAUCGUAAACCUCUGUCCUUGGGGAAGAAGGUCUUCGGACUUGACGGUCCCCAUGGAGGCAGCCCCGGCUAACUACGUCCCCGCAGCCGCGGUAAUACGUAGGGGGCAAGCGUUGUCCGGAACUAUUGGGCGUAAAGGGUGCGUAGGCGGCCUUUUAAGUCAGAUGUGAAAGCCCACGGCUCAACCGUGGGAUUGCAUUUGAAACUGGAGGGCUUGAGUAUCGGAGAGGGUAGUGGAAUUCCCAGUGUAGCGGUGAAAUGCGUAGAUAUUGGGAGGAACACCAGUGGCGAAGGCGACUACCUGGACGAUUACUGACGCUGAAGCACGAAAGCUAGGGGAGCAAACA